rnacentral:rRNA from 1 species
UACGUAGGAUGCAAGCGUUGUCCGGAUUUAUUGGGUUUAAAGGGUGCGUAGGCGGCCUAUUAAGUUAGUGGUGAAAACGUUCGGCUUAACCGGAUACCCGCCAUUGAUACUGAUAGACUUGAGUGCGACAGAGGGUGUUGGAAUGUGUGGUGUAGCGGUGAAAUGCUUAGAUAUCACGCAGAACACCAAUUGCGAUUGCAGAUGCCUAUGUCGUAACUGACGAUGAAACACGAAAGCGUGGGGAGCAGCCAAA